rnacentral:lncRNA from 1 species
UUAAUUAAAAAGAAAAAAGAUAAUAAAAAGCCAUUUAAUUUUUUGAACUGGUUUGGGUUUUACAAUCCUAUAGUCUUGUACGUUCAUUACCAAAAUAAACUAUAUAUGCUUAUUUAGUUAAAAUAAUUACAUGCGUCCCCACAAAGCUAGAAAAUCUCUCUCGUUCGGUGACGGCAAAAUGCCUGCCCGAGGCGUCACGACCUGAGGGCAGCCGUGGCUCUCACCUCAGGGUGGGGGAGGUCCGGGGCGUGGUCGAGACGCACCGCGGAGCUAAGGUACUCGAUGCAGUUGCGGCCGGUGGCCGUGAAGACGCUCUCCGCCUUGGAGAUGUCCUCCAGACUCGGGUCGAAGGUCUUCACGUGAAGGUCCAACCUCGAGUCUGGUGUGAGCUGCCGCUGGAGUUCCUGUAGUGGAACGCGAGCUUCGUCAUUUGUCUCGUGGGCAACCUGAGACUUCCGCGAAGGUUUGGAACGUGCUGCAAGCUCGGUUCACGCGCCCAGCGCCGCCGGCAGCUCCAAUAGCUUGCCGGUGGGUAGUCGCAAGCCCAGUGCUGUCAUUUUCCUCUCCCAGAAGUCCCGCGCUGGGUCUCGCGCCGAGGUCUGGUUUGCGCCUGGGUGAUCCCGCUAUGCCUGAUGGGAAUUGUAGUCUCAACUGGCCUCACACGCUUGCGCCUCAGAACUGCCAAUCCACAGAGGCCGAGGCAGCGGUUUCCUCGCGACGGGGAGCUCUUCAAUCACACAAGUCAAUGUGUUCCUCAUCUUGCUUUUACUGGACCUGAUUUGACAUGGAUUUGACUGCAAUCAAGAGUCCUGAUUAAUACAGCAUUGUAAGAUGUUGUGUGGUUCCUCAUGUAAAUCCAGAGCCAUCAGACUAGUGGGAUAGUUGGAGUGGCCUAUGUAAAUUUCAAACCUAUUACAGAGGAGUCACGGUAAAUCUUCGGUAUAUGUGCUGGGGAAGUGAGCAUGUCAUGGUAAAUCUUCGGGACUUAAAGUACCUGUGGCUGCAAGUUAGGCAGGCCAAAAUGUUAUCCUUCCUUAAUGUAAAGGCUCGAAUUCAGGGAGUUCAAGUUUCCCUUCCACUCAGUAUAUUUCCUCAUCCAGUGGGUAUUUAUGAUGUUUGGUAAAGGUCAGCAAUCUAGUUACAUUGUGAAAAUUAGCAGAGUUCAGGAUGUGUUUAUGGUUCAUCCUCCUGAGAAAAAGUACUUUCUGUUUGACAGCUUAGGAGGUAGUUCACCACAAAGUUAACAAGAUUGUACUAUUUAGUAUAACUUGGGGAGGUAUUACCUACUUUGCAUACACUUCUUAGCAUCAGUUUUUAUUGCUACAAUCUAUCUGGCCUAAAUGCUAUAGUUUCACUCAGUCAUGUUCAUCUAAUGAGAAUGGGAAAAAC